ACGUAGGGGGCGAGCGUUGUCCGAAUUCACUGGGCGUAAAGCGCGCGUAGGCGGGCAUUUAAGUUGUGGGUGAAAUCCCGAGGCUCAACCUCGGAACUGCCUGCAAAACUGGGUGCCUUGAGGUAUGGAGAGGGAAGUGGAAUUCCUGGUGUAGCGGUGAAAUGCGUAGAUAUCAGGAGGAACACCUGUGGCGAAGGCGGCUUCCUGGCCAUAUCCUGACGCUGAGGUGCGAAAGCUAGGGUAGCGAACGG
rnacentral:rRNA from 1 species